UGAAGUAAUCUCUUAUAUAUAAAAAGGUUUCAUUGGAAAGUUUCUUAAGUCAUAUUAAUAAAGAUUUAGCACUUUCAAUAAUAACAGUCAAUAAAAAAACACUCUCAGUAAAAUAUGUCAAAUAAAUAUCAUAAUUUUUGUAUUGCUGAGUUGAAUUUGAAAACAAUUUGUAGAAAGUAAGUAAUAUUCAUCAUUUUGUACAUUAUAUUAUAAAUGUAAAUUAUUAUUAAUUAAAACAUCCACAUGCUUUUUGUUAUGCAAAGAUUUAUCGCACCUAAUCGUGUACGUCAUUAUGAAACUUUUCUCAAGCAGCUUCACCUCUAUAGCCUCACCAACUUCUUCGCGAAGAAGAACGUAGGUCACCUACCAAAAAUACACGAGUUGCUUAGUUGAUUCAAAAUAGAGACGGAGACAAAGUAUUUAACGAAUACAUCCAUAGUGGAACCCCAAUUUGGUGCUUUAAGAGAAUAAUCACAAACAAACACAUGCAUUUACGUGCUUUAUUUUGGAACACCAACUUUAUUUUAUAUUUUAAAUUAAAUUAUAUUUACUUUGGUGUAAUUAUCAACUAUUUAUUCUAUUGUUAUUUUAUUAAUCUAUAAAACCAACUUAUACUAUUUUUCUUUGACCUAACCAAAUACAAAACAAAGUAAUACAAUACAAGCACCAACCACUAUCAAAUGGAUAAAAAAUCAAUUAUCAACUCAUCAGAAAACAAAACAUACAAAUCCGGCGCUAAAAAGGUUUCAUUGGAAAGUUUCUUAAGUCAUAUUAAUAAAGAUUUAGCACUUUCAAUAAUAACAGUCAAUAAAAAAACACUCUCAGUAAAAUAUGUCAAAUAAAUAUCAUAAUUUUUGUAUUGCUGAGUUGAAUUUGAAAACAAUUUGUAGAAAGUAAGUAAUAUUCAUCAUUUUGUACAUUAUAUUAUAAAUGUAAAUUAUUAUUAAUUAAAACAUC
rnacentral:lncRNA from 1 species